CGGUGAAUACGUUCCCGGACCUUGUACACACCGCCCGUCAAGCCAUGGAAGCCGGGUGUACCUAAAGUCGAUAACCGUAAGGAGUCGCCUAGGGUAAAACUGGUGACUGGAGCU
rnacentral:rRNA from 1 species